UAAGCACAGGUGCUGCAUGGCCGUCGUCAGCUCGUGCCGUGAGGUGUUGGGUUAAGUCCCGCAACGAGCGCAACCCCGCCGUUAGUUGCCAGCGGUUCGGCCGGGCACUCUAACGGGACUGCCCGCGAAAAGCGGGAGGAAGGAGGGGACGACGUCUGGUCAGCAUGGCCCUUACGGCCUGGGCGACACACGUGCUACAAUGCCCACUACAAAGCGAUGCCACCCGGCAACGGGGAGCUAAUCGCAAAAAAGGUGGGCCCAGUUCGGAUUGGGGUCUGCAACCCGACCCCAUGAAGCCGGAAUCGCUAGUAAUCGCGGAUCAGCCAUGCCGCGGUGAAUACGUUCCCGGGCCUU
rnacentral:rRNA from 1 species